rnacentral:rRNA from 1 species
GGCGAGGGGUCCAAGCGUUGUUCGGAAUCAUUGGGCGUAAAGCGGGUGUAGGUGGCUCUAUAAGUCAGAAGUGAAAGCCCCGGGCUUAACCCUGGGAAGUGCUUUUGAUACUGGCAGAGCUUGAAUGUGGGAGAGGGUAGUGGAAUUCCAGGUGUAGUGGUGAAAUACGUAGAUAUCUGGAGGAACGACCGGUGGCGAAGGCGGCGAAUCGUGGGUCGAGUACUGACGCUGAGG